rnacentral:rRNA from 1 species
UACGGAAGGCAGCAGUGGGGAAUAUUGCACAAUGGGCGCAAGCCUGAUGCAGCCAUGCCGCGUGUAUGAAAAAGGCCUUCGGGUUGUAAAGUACUUUCAGUCGUGAGGAAGGUGUUAAGGUUAAUAACCUUAGCAAUUGACGUUAGCGACAGAAGAAGCACCGGCUAACUCCGUGCCAGCAGCCGCGGUAAUACGGAGGGUGCGAGCGUUAAUCGGAAUUACUGGGCGUAAAGGGCACGCAGGCGGUUAAUUAAGUUGGAUGUGAAAUCCCCGGGCUUAACCUGGGAAUGGCAUUCAAGCUGGUUAGCUAGAGUCUUGUAGAGGGGGUAGAAUUCCAUGUGUAGCGGUGAAAUGCGUAGAGAUGUGGAGGAAUACCGGUGGCGAAGGCGGCCCCUGGACAAAGGCUGACGCUCAUGUGCGAAAGCGUGGGGAGCGAAACAGGGAUUAGAUACC